UAACUUAAGUUUAUAAACAAUUUCUUUUCCACUUUCUGCAACUUUUUCAUGCAUAUAACAUGAAAUAUCAUACAUUUUCAGGCUUGCAUUUGUAACGUUAUCUCCUGUCACCAUAAUUUACUGCUCUUAAAGAUUAUUCUGACACAUUUUAGUAGUAAGAUCCACUAAGUAUUCAUUUCUAUCUUUGAUACAAUUAAGUAUAUUGUAUAAAAUCCUAUGGAUAAUAUUAAUAUCCCUGUAGCAUAAUGUUCAGGAGAGUUUGCAACAACUAAUAUUAUCUGUUGUUUCAGAAUAUGUAUCACCUAGGAAGCCUUCUUGUGGAAAGGGUGAGACAAGAUGUUCUUCUAAGACAAUGUGACUAGUACCACUUGGGAUUUCUUGGAGCUCCUGCAGGGGCCCAUCAUGGCUGCUGUCUGCCCAUUCUGAUGGAACCUGUGAGGAUCCAAAUCAUUCUGUGCUGGGGAAGAAAGCCAUGGCACUGGCAAGGCAGGGGCCAUGCUCUCAGUGUGCCUUCUCCAGAUGCUGGGCAUAUGGUCUUGUCCUGAGAGCUCCAAGAUAAUUUGGCUUAGCUUAUUUGGUGAAGGAUGCAGCUGGAGCAGAGAGUGUGGAGAGAGACUUACUGCACUUCCAGAUAACAGCCUUGCUGAGCUUGAUUGAUGGAUGCUGUUUAAUCUGCCAGACAGGCUAAAACUUAGGAAAUGGAGCAGAAACAUGCAGCUUGGGCAAACCAUUUGUGUAUAGCAAAGACAUACACAGUGUCAUUUUAGGCAGUGUUUGUGCUAGGAAGCCACUGUGCAGAGGCUUCCUCACCAGCACAGCUGGGCAUUGAAGUGCUUUAUUCUGUGCAUCAGAGCACUGUAUGUGUUUUGGCCACCUCUGUCAAGGGAUGAGACUUCUUUCCUCUUCCAAGCCUUUCCCUUUGCAAUUAUAUUGCUGCAGCAGAAGGCCAUCUAUCUAGUCAUAAAAGCAAGUGUUUUUCAGUCACACCCCUGAAGUCUUCAAAAGACCUCAGAAGAUACACAGAGGAUGGUUGAGUACAAGAGAAGCAGUGUCCAAUAAUUCAUUGCUGAGAUGAACUCAGAAGAUGUGGGCUUUGCUCUCUCAGGCUCUUGCUGACUUGUUGCAUGGUGCUGAGCACCUUCCUGGUCAAACCAGUGUCCUCCAUGCCUGCCUUGGACUUGCUCUGCACUCAAUGUUCUCAGUGGAAAUGAUUGUAACAUGAAGAAUCUCUUCCAGGUAGGGUGAUUUAUCAUGUGCAGGAAACUGGAUGCAACUGGAGUACCUUGUUGCUAUUAAGAUCUUCAUCUUCACUUGGCUGAAGAUGAAGUUGUGGAGGCAAACUACACCAUGAUGUAAACAAGACUGGAGCUUGUACAACUUUUAAGACCAAGUGUGGCUAUUCCACUGCAGCUUGCCACUGCACAGUCUGGCAAUCCAGUCUGAAAGAGCACUUUUGGGACUUAGGAUAUAAAGAAUAAAAUUGUAGAGGAUACAGUUAAAAUGACAACAACAACAACAAAGCCAGAAGAAUUCAACACAUUUUUUUCUUUCUUGAAAGGGGUAUGGAGUUGGUAUAACACUACUGCAUGUGUGAUAUACUCACCAAGUGUAUUUCAAUUUAGUGGAGAACAAUGAGAUUUGCUUUUCCUCUUAGAGGUGUUAGUAGACUCAAAGGUGGAAGAGGAGACAAAAACAAGCUUGCAUCAAAGCAAGUGGAUCAAGAAAAUACGAUAUCAAGUGGCCUCUCUCCUAAUUGUACUGCUAAAGUCUCCAGGUUCCUGAAACCGUACUUAGCUCACGUGGAAGCAGGUGUGGCCCACAACAUGCCUGCUGGACUUGCACUUUUGAAGGCUUGGAAUUACAAUCACUCUAAGUAAUAUGCCCUAUUUGUCUGGCCACGCUAUCAGGGACCUUCUUGAUGAUCUUGAUGCAACUCAAACUUAACCGCCACAGCUGACAACGGUGUUGCCAUUCAGGCCAGAUCACAGCCAUUGUGAAAUUUCUACCCCAAACCAUUAUUUGAGAGCAACAGAAAAGCUGUUUUUUCUGGCUGUGGUCCACAUCAGUUGGAAACGAUCACUUUUUGAUGAAGAACACCUUAAAAGAUGCAAUGACUGGCAAAUCUUGCAAGUUGUCCUUCCCGAGACAGCACAGUAUGGACCAAGCAGGAGUGUACAGCACAACAAAGUCAAAGCACAAACCCUGUGGAUGACCAGUAGGAAUGCCAAAAAUGGUAAAGGACUGUGAGGUAACAGCAGUGCCAGAAACUGAAUACAUCUCAAAAUAAAAAUAUUGUGCUGAUAUGAACUGGAUAUUUUACAGGACAGAAAUGGAAUAUGCCCUUCAUCUAAGGGCUGUUAUUUAUUUAUUUACCUUCACGAGCUGCAACAGGCUUUGAGCAACAGAGGAACAAACACUUGUAAAGAAACCUUUGUAACAGAAAGAGCCCGGCUCCUGCAUGUUUCUUUGCUACCCUUUACCUGUGGAAAGGUUAGGAUCACAAGUCCCUGCAAGCUGACCCUGCAUAUUUCGGUUGCAUCCUACUUGGGACUGUGAGGCUUUAUUGCUGAUUCCCAGAAGCCCUGGCAAGUGAACAAGGUGUGCUUCUCACUGCACACUCAUUUGUUACAACCCCAACAUGCAAUGGUUUGCAGGUGUGUGGUUCUGAGGAUGAAAUGGACUAGCAGUGCCUUGUACUACAGAGCCCUUGUUCCUUCUCUUGACAACAGUUCUUGGUGCUGCUUUUUUUGGCUUGUGGUCCAUCCUAGUCUCCUUUACUCUAGGAAGCUUAUGUCUUCCUGCCCAUACUAACUCUCACUAUGCUAUGGGGAGCUCAAGAUAGCAAACACAGACUCUAUCGUUAAUUCCAAUAAUUGUUUAUUAAAUAGAAAAAAAAAAAGCAUACAGAAAUCCAUACCAAGACAGACCUUCAUCUCCAUCCUCUACACUCCCUCAGGGGGUUUUCAUCAAUCAAACACUGCAUUUCUGGCAAGAAAUAAAGAGCGGUAAGUUUGAACUUCUGCUCAGCAAAGUGAAUCCACACUCCUUACUUGCUAUGUUGCCUGGGAGAGAAGGCUUCCUGGAUCUUACACAAUCACUGAUGUUGUGGCACUGGACUCUACCCUUGCCCAUACCUUCAGCCUGCAUUGUCCAUAGUAAUGUCAAGGGGACUUCUACUUGGCUUAGGCAAGUAGAAUCUUUCUUUUGGCCUAGUUUGAUGUGGAUCAGCCUCUCUGUCUAGUACAACAAUCUACAAUGCAUCCAGCCCUUGCUUGUCAUGCCUAGCUGGACAGAAACACAGGUCUAUGUAAAGUACAUUUUCCUUUUUUACUUCCAUCUUAUUUGGGGUCAUUCUCCCCUAUGCAGCACUGACAGGUGCUUGGGUGGCUGUGCAUCUUGAUAGGCCAUCUAGAGAUCCCCAUGGAUGUUUUACCAGUACUAAUUUUAAGAGGAGUAAGAGAUCAUCCCUGAUGAUGUCCUUCCUCACCAAGAAAGAACAGCGUGAAGUUGAUCAUAGGUGCAUAUGUUCCUGUAAUGAUUUUGAAGCAAUGGGUAAAUCCCAUGAAAGUGAUGUUUACUACUGUUUCAUCCUACAUUUGUGGAUAGCAUAGGCUGAGCAUGGCUAUACAUGGCAUAAUCUGAGUGGUGGCUAUUGCCAGCAUCCCAAUAGCACAAUCAGCCCCUAUUGCUCCCACCCAUCCCCAUGGGGCUCCCAUAUUAAAAAAAUAAAUAAAAAAUGUAAUAAUAAUACAGGAGCUUUUCACAGUGCAGAUAUGAGAGUGGAGGGAAGCAGAAGCAUGCAAGCAACCGUAUUAUCCAGAGGGAUGCUCACUUCCCCAUGGGAAACCCAAGGGCAGCUGAGCUGUGCACCUAGCACCUAGCCUAGCUGUGCAAAGGCUCACCAUCACUUCCCUGCCAGGUGGCUGGCGAUGAGUGGUCCUAAGUGGUUUAUAUUUAGAGAAUCCCCUCUUUGCAUUGGGAAGGUCUUGUUUUCAGUCCCAAAAUGCUCUGCAAAAUGAAUGAAUUGCUGUUUUCUAGCCAGCCUGACUAGGAAACAUGGCUCACACAGUUGCUGGGAACUGAAAGAAACAUCCUGGUUUGCAGAGCAUAAAUUAGGACAAUGCAUUCUUAUUCUCAUGGAUUUUCCCUGAGAAAAAAUCCAACAGUGGGAGUGUGUUAGAGCGGUAAAAUACAAUUCAUGACAACAGUCCCACUGAGAGGAGGAUUUUUUUUCCCUUUAGUUGCUUUUAAUUGUGGUAAGGAGCAAACACAUUCCUCUUUAAUUUCCAUUGGCAAGGUCUCCGGGACUAUGUGAGUGCCAAGAAGUGUGCUGUGGCUGGCUUUGCAUUUCCUCCUCUCUUCUUCCCCUCCUCCACCCCUCCCUCAUCUUACGGGUAUUACAGCCAAUCCCUCUGCAAAUACCUUUUUCACAGGCAGUGUAAGCACUCUCUCUUGUUUUUCUCCUUUCAAAACUCUGCUCUAUCUCUUUUGGCCAGCUGCAGCCUUCCUAGAGCAUCUUCUACCUGACAAAAGAAGGUACCUUUGAUAGUCAGGCACGAUGGUAAAGUUGAAACACAUGCUUGGUUCAGAUACCGAUGAACUUUAAUUUACCUCAAUUCAUUAGCAAUUUUUAAAACCACAGUUAAUGGAAGGCAGCCUGUAAAAUAAUUGGAAGUAAAUGAUGAAGGAGAAACUCUGGGGGGAGGAAGGAAGGGAAGCGGCUUACAGCAGGAGUCUAAGCCAGGCUUUCAUCUUCAGGGCAGUCCGGUUUUGAACCCUGAUGGGAAAGGUCAUGAAUUUUAAAAUGUGUCUCACAGCAGACAGCUCUAAUCAUAAAGCUAACACUAUCUGCAGUGCAUGUCUGACCAUGUGAGGCUCGCGGCUGACUGAAGGAGGCUGACUUUCAAGGGGAGGAUGCUGCUUUGAGCAGGAAGGUGUGGGAUAAGCAGAACCGAUGCCAUAUCUGUCAGUGCCAGAAUGAAGCACUGGGCUGUUGGGGCAGGGGAAAACAUGCCACUUCUAGUGGAGUUUGCAGCAGCAGAAGGACCGUGUAGUGCCUUGUGCUCUUCUCUGGGCUCCUUGAGAGCCCAGCGUUUCCCCUUCUUGCAUGUCAGUUAGGAAGUGUAACAUCUACUGCUUUAGCUUGCUAUUCACAUCUUCAGUUUUAAUACAGUUUCCAGCCUAUUGCAUGCAAAAGCUGGAAUGCUCUCUACAGCUAUCCUGGGAAUCAUUGCUCUGCCAUUUGCCAGGCUGUGUUUGAAAUCAAGGGAUGCUAAUGUUUUGGCAACACCUUACAGUGCCUCUGACAAAAGAGUUGUGGUUGGUGUCUAUCUCAGUCUUAAUUGUUUUCUUAAUUGGAUGCUGCUGAGGCUCAGACAGUUAUUUGUAGGAUGUGAGAAAACACUCAAUUCUCUCUCUGACUUCAUCUGCAUUUUCCAAAAUCCUUCCACUGUUCAUCUACCACAUCUUGGGCUCUGCUCUUCCUAGCACGUAUGGAAGUGCAGUCCAGUGGUGUUAAUCACCACGUGGUGUCUAGACAUGCUGAAAACACUUAAGCAACUGUGACAUCUGUUUGGGCAGCCAGUGUUGUUGGGAAACUUGACCCUAUUUAUGAACAGUUUUUAAGACCAAGUUCCAGUUGUGACAAGAUAAUAAAUACAAAGCGUCUUUACAUACUGUGACCAGAGCUUCAUGGUCAACAUGCUCUCACAGGAGGGGUGGUCUGGCUGUGAAAGGUUAGCUCUCGGGGCAUAUGUGUUCAGUUUUCAGGUCUGGUGCAAACUUCAUGUCUGACCUUUGCAAAGGUGUGUGCUUUCUUUGUAUCUGGAAUAAAUGGUGAUGGUAAUAGAGGUAAUACCUGGAAUCAGAAUGAUUAUGGGACUCUUCAGAUUGUGCCAGCUAAUUUGAUUGUUACCAAAAUAAAGUCCCCGUGAUCUUACCAGUAUUCAGUGCUCCAUUACAUAGAUUUAGCAGUCUGUGAACAAGAGUGGGAGCCAGUAUGGAAUGUCUUUUGGUUCUGCAGCAACAGAAAACUCAAAGUCAGGAUUAUUUUUAGUGUGCAACUGCUAGGUUUUUCUGUGUGUGAUGUGGAGCAGAAUUUUCAAGAGCAUCUGGUCCUUUGCUGUUAAAUGUUUACUUCACUCUUGAAUAUGAGAUUUGGGGCUCUGAUGGAGGAUCUCUGGUAGAUUUAACUGUUAACUGUUAACUGUUAACAUCAUCUCCUCCAGCACCUCUGCCAAAAAUUACUGGAAAAAGGUAUAGAGAAAAGCAGCAAACCUGGUGGAGACGGUGCCGUGAUCUUUUCUGUCAUCCAUCCUCCAAUGGUUUGUUUCACCGUAGAGAAAACCUAGGGAUUCACUCAGGUGUGAGCUUCUCCCAUGCUGUGUCUGGCAAGCAGUUAGUGACAAGAGAAUGAUGGUGCUUUGCUUGAUGUGCAGACAGGCUUCCCCGCAGCUCACUGUGAAAGAGCUGAGGGACAGCAAGAUCCGCUAGAGUUGAUUUGGGUAGCCCUAGCUAUGCAGCGCCAGGAAAAUGUCAACAACCAGGUACCAGGGGCCCCUAAGCAGGGCUAACCCCAUGCCCCCAGGCAAGGCUCAGUUUACAUUCACAUCUCCCUUUGGUGACACGCCAGUGAGUUUCCAGGGAACUCACAGCUCUGAAAGGGCUUCUGCAAGAGUUAGUUUCUCUGCUCAUCUCACAUCUGAGAUGUGAUUUCAGUGGCUGUGUUUUUUAUGGUGGGGUCUCCAGCAAUACAAGUAUUACAAGGUAUUUAUUUGCCAAGCCUUUUCUGCUGUGUUUCAGCCUCUCCUCUCCCCCUUCCCUGGCUUAUCACUGGUGGAAGCGGGUGUAAAGUCCUUUGAACGAAGACAUCAAAGGACAGUUGCAUCUCUGUUCUUUAACCAGGCUUAUAAAGAGAUUGUGAUAAAGGACAACAAUACAUGUCAGUGUUGCCCAGUUAUUGUUCUGUGCUUUGUAGUUUUAUUAGGAAAUAAUUUCUCACCCUGUGUGGCUCCUGGUGAGUUUUGUUUCUGUGUUGCUGGAUUUGAUCUGCCCACUGAAAGGCCUGCCACAGAACUGAGAGUUUUGCCAGCUGUGAGUUAAGAGGGAGACAUUAUUGAAAAAGUUCAAGCUCUGCUUCCUAGCAGCCAAUUUACCAUCUGUCUCCCUCUCCCUCACGCCCCUUUUAUAGCAAAAAUGCAAACAAUUUGUUUGACCUCUGCUGAAUCUGUAGAACUCUGGGCUUUUAAAGUGUUGAUUUAACAAAUAAAAACCCAAUGUGACAGCAGCAACAACCUCAAAUUCAAAGCCAAUAAACCCAGGUAACAGCAAGGCUUGUUACAAGAGACAGUAAAAGCCUAUGAAAGGCUUUCUUCUUUAUAAAUACAUCCCUCCUCCUCCCUGCAUCCCACCUUUUGGAAAAUCUACAAAUGAAGUUGAAUCCUGCCCACUACAGUGUGUGGCUGAAAAUCCACCCCUUCCUCCAGGAUAACAGAGGGAGUAAAGCCCUCAAAAAUCAAGUCAGACCGAAGUGGAAAGACUGUUCUUAGCCAGCCUGGCUUGGGUUUGCCUCUGUGGCUGCAGACAGAGUUGAUCCUCCAUAUGAAGAGGAAGGGAGUUGCGGAUAGGUAAUUCCCAGCUUUCCCCCACUUCCAUCUCCUGGCAUCAUGCCUACCUCUGUUCUUACACAGCUGUAGCACUCACGAGACACCCUUAUAAACUGGUUCAGUUCAGUGACCCACCUCUCAGCUGACUUAGUGAGCUAAGUCUGUUCACAGAGGGCUCUGGUGGGCACCAGAGCUGGAGCAAGGAGAGGGCAGAGAGAGAAGUAGGAUCUCUCCUGGUGAUGCUGAGCCUCUAGCCUGGCUCGGCUGUGUGAGGAGCGGCAGCUGACUGUCGCAUUAUGAAAUUGUUGUACAAAUGGUGUGAUUGCCAGUGAAUGAUAAUAGUGCUGUCUGUCUCAUAAAGAGACUUUUUCAAAAGCAUUGUUGAUGCCGGUAUAAAUUGGCACGGCUUCAAUCAGUGUGUCAUUUGUCUGGUAGGCUACGAAACGCUCUUGCAAAACUGGCCUGUGUUUCAAGACUUUGUCUCUAUCAUAUUGACCCUAAUGAAAAUCCAAGCUACUAAAUGACUCAUUCCUGUUGUCCUUCACCCUGAAAUAGGUACUCAUACCCACAAUUCACAUCACUGAAAAUCUCUUAGAAAAAAAAUCACUCUUCAAACAAAGCCUAUGAAGUCCUCGUUCCAGCCUGCUGAAGCAGCCUUUGCUUCUCAAACAAAUUUCUUUAGGAAGAGAUGAGAGCUGGUGAGAAAAUCACCUCCGUGCUCCUGUGUUUUAGUGAGGAUGGAAAAGGGCAGCAUGACAUUCUUGCACAAAGCAUUUUCUCUUUCAGUGUAUCUUAAGUAGCUUGGAAUAAGAAAAGAAAGCCUUUUCUUGGGUUACUGAAGCUACAAAGCUGUCAUAUAAUUGGGGACCAUCCUGGACAAAUAAUGGGGUGGCAGAGGGUUGGGGGAGGAAGGGAGAAGAAAAGGGUUUAGUGUGAAAAUGAAUCUAACAAACGAAGAUGGACUUAACCUGUUAAGUAGCCUUGAAACCUGAGCUGAGAUGCUAAUCCUCUCAGGACAAAGCUGAAUCCUGCUCUUGGGGGUGUGCGGGUGGUGUUGUACCUGCUUUGAGAACGUGGAAAAAGCCCUUUCUAAAAGCAGGGGAUGGAGGCUUUCCAUUGUCUAGGAAGUAUCUUGUUUAUCACAGAAUGGUAUUAUUUCCCAUCUUGAGUUCUUUGAUAUCUGAGUUUUGGAUGAAGUGUGAAAAUGAAUACUGUCAAUAAAAAUAAAAAUAAAAAAAAAAUAGGAGAAAAACAAAACAAAAGAAAAUUGGAGCAAGAGAUGCUGUAAACAGAGAGGAGAACAAACAUUUUUGCUAUGUAAGUCUGCUGCAUUGCUGAGUGGCUGCCUGAGAUGUAGGAGAUGUAAGGAGCAAAUUCUUUCACUCUGGUUAGGAGAAGGCAGCAGAUAGACCUGUGUUUGAGGAUGUGGUGGAGAUGAAGCAACCCAAAAUCUUAAAAACCAUUUUCUUCAUAGUGGCAGGAAAGGCUGUAACAGUUGAAGACUUCUGAGAUCAGGUCCCACCAGAGAGAGACACCAAGUGAAACCACAUGGAGAUACAGAGCAUGCAGUUUGGUUGGUAAAGAGAAGGAUGGAUGGUGAAGAAACCAGUGGUCUGGACAAGCUCGAUGUCUAGGUUUAUGUGCAUUUUGAAUCUUUUCUGGUCACACAGUUUCUUCUGGAAACAUAAGCUCAGGCUCAAUGUUAUCUACCUGAGAGUAAUAGGUCUGAAAAUAUCCCACUAUACUGCUCCACCUUUUACUGUACUGGUGCCAAGGCCUGUCCAGAUACAGAAAUUUUCAGGAUUA